rnacentral:rRNA from 1 species
UGCAAGUCGAGCGGUAACAGAAAUUAGCUUGCUAAUUUGCUGACGAGCGGCGGACGGGUGAGUAAUGCCUGGGAAUAUGCCUUAGUGUGGGGGAUAACUAUUGGAAACGAUAGCUAAUACCGCAUAAUGUCUUCGGACCAAAGAGGGGGACCUUCGGGCCUCUCGCGCUAAGAUUAGCCCAGGUGAGAUUAGCUAGUUGGUGAGGUAAGAGCUCACCAAGGCGACGAUCUCUAGCUGGUCUGAGAGGAUGAUCAGCCACACUGGAACUGAGACACGGUCCAGACUCCUACGGGAGGCAGCAGUGGGGAAUAUUGCACAAUGGGCGAAAGCCUGAUGCAGCCAUGCCGCGUGUAUGAAGAAGGCCUUCGGGUUGUAAAGUACUUUCAGUAGGGAGGAAGGCGCUGUCGUUAAUAGCGGCUUCGUUUGACGUUACCUACAGAAGAAGCACCGGCUAACUCCGUGCCAGCAGCCGCGGUAAUACGGAGGGUGCGAGCGUUAAUCGGAAUUACUGGGGGUAAAGCGCAUGCAGGUGGUUCAUCAAGUCAGAUGUGAAAGCCCGGGGCUCAACCUCGGAACCGCAUUUGAAACUGGUGAACUAGAGUGCUGUAGAGGGGGGUAGAAAUUUCAGGUGUAGCGGUGAAAUGCGUAGAGAUCUGAAGGAAU